CCCGCACAAGCGGUGGAGCAUGUGGUUUAAUUCGAUGAUACGCGAGGAACCUUACCUGGGCUCAAAUGUAUGUUGACGUAUUCUGAAAGGGAUACUUCUUCGGACAAUAUACAAGGUGCUGCAUGGUUGUCGUCAGCUCGUGCCGUGAGGUGUCGGGUUAAGUCCCAUAACGAGCGCAACCCCUGCAUUCAGUUGCCAUCGGGUGAAGCCGGGCACUCUGGAAGGACUGCCAUCGACAAGAUGGAGGAAGGUGGGGACGACGUCAAGUCAUCAUGGCCCUUAUGUCCAGGGCGACACACGUGCUACAAUGGCCGGCACAACGGGAAGCGAGUUCGCGAGGACGAGCGGAUCCCUUAAAGCCGGUCGCAGUUCGGAUUGAAGUCUGCAACUCGACUUCAUGAAGCUGGAAUCGCUAGUAAUCGCAGAUCAGCCAAGCUGCGGUGAAUACGUUCCCGGGCCUU
rnacentral:rRNA from 1 species